CGUGCCAUUGCUGGAGGGUCCCCCCGAGCUCACCGAGGGGUCCCCCCUCAAUCUCAGCUGCCUCAGCACCCCCAGCCCCCUGCGGCCCCCAGCCCCCCUCCUAUACCGCUUCUACCGGGACGGGCAGUCGAUGGGGGGCCCGCAGGGGUCCCCGCAGCUCCUGGUGCCCGCCGUGGGGGUCUCCCACUCGGGGAAUUACAGCUGCGAGGUGCGCUCCGAGGGGGGGCCGUGCGGAAGAGCAGCGCCCGGCUCGGCGUCACGGUGCGCAGUGAGUGCGGGAUGGGCACGGGGAGCCCCCACAGCCCCCACAGGAUCCCACCUGGGUAUAUCCCUGUACCCCAGAAAUCUUUCUUGUGUCCCCCCACGUCUGCCCUGUGUCCCGUCAUUCCUCUUUGUGUCCUCUCACCCAUCAGUGGUUGACCCCAUCCACAACAUUUUCGUAUCAUACCCAUCCGUCCCAUACCCACCUGCCCCUCCCUUGGCCUCAGCCCUGUCUGUGUCCCCGCAGUGCCCGUGGCCAAUGCCACCAUCACCCCCGGUCCCCCGGCACUCCAGGUGUGCCCAGGUGACCCCGUGACCCUGCGCUGCUCGGUGCAGGUGGGCUCAGCCCCUGUCACCUUCACCUGGCUGCUCGAUGGGCACGAGGUGGCUCGGGGUCCCCUCCUGGAGCUUGGGGCCAUCGAUGUGGGACAUUCGGGCACCUACCAGUGCGUGGCCACCAACCAGCUGGGACAGGACGGGCACCGCGUGUUCCAGGCACUCAGCCCAGAGCUGGCCCUGGAGGUGACACCACAGGGAACCAGUGGACACCAGUGGAGUACAGCAGUGGCCACAGGCCUUGGUGGGUCCCUCCUCUUCCUGGUCCUGCUCGUAGGUGGAGCUGUGGGCUUGUACCAGUGGAACAGCAUGACUGCCAGGAAGCAGCAGGAAAGGUGAGUUGGAGGCUCAAACCACACUCUGGCCUUUGACCCCAACCCCCAAGACCUCCCAUUCCCUCCCACACAUCCCCUUUAUUCCCUCAGGGCCCCCCCCAGAGGACGGGGAGGUGCUGUACACCCACGUCGUGAGCACCAAGCAGACAGGGGCGUCCCCACGUGCCACCACACUCCAGGAUCCCCAGGUGACCUACGCGGAGCUGGCAGCAACCCAUGGGCGACCGCGGGAAUGUGGGGACAUCUAUGGGAAUGUGCUGUGACACUCGGGGCACGGCUGGGAAUUGGGGGGCUCUGGGGACACUGAGGGGCUCUGGGGCCACUGGAGGUCCCUGCCUGAGGGCAACAGCCGUGUGAUCCUCCCCUCCCCCUCUCUGUUCCCAGGGUUGCCCACCCUGCCCAGGAGAUGGACACGAGUGGGGCAUUCCAUGUGGGGCUGUCCAGAGCUCCCUGUUCCAGUGCUCCCAGUUGUCCCAGUACCUCCAGGGGCUCCGCAUUCCCUCCUACCGGACCAUGGCGCAAGACCUUUGUCCCACUGACUGGACACAAAACUCAGAUUUUGAAUUAAACUUGAAGAAAU